CCAAUAGCGUAUAUUAAAGUUGUUGCAGUUAAAAAGCUCGUAGUUGAAUUUCGGGGUUCAUCCGUUGGUCGGGCUUUUUUGGUCUGUACUGGCGUGAUGGAUUCCUACCUUCUGAAUAACCAGCAUGUCAUUAAUUUGGUGCGCUGGGGAAGCAGGACUGUUGCCUUGAAAAAAUUAGAGUGCUUAAAGCAGGCUAUCGCCUGAAUACAUUAGCAUGGAAUAAUGAAAUAGGACGGCAUGGUUCUAUUUUGUUGGUUUCUAGGAUCACCGUAAUGAUUAAUAGGGAUAGUUGGGGGCAUUAGUAUUCAAUUGUCAGAGGUGAAAUUCUUGGAUUUAUUGAAGACUAACUUCUGCGAAAGCAUUUGCCAAGGAUGUUUUCAUUAAUCAAGAACGAAAGUUAGGGGAUCGAAGACGAUCAGAUACCGUCGUAGUCUUAACCAUAAACUAUGCCGACUAGGGAUCGGACGAUGUUAAUUUUUUAAUGACUCGUUCGGCGCCUUACG
rnacentral:rRNA from 1 species